AUGACUCUGAUCUCCGUCCUCAUCUGGACUGUCCUCUGCUGCUGCUUCACAGAGUCCAGAGGUCAGGUCACAGUGACUCAGCCUGGAGCAGUGAGCUCUGCUCGGGGAGCCUCCGUCUCCAUCAGCUGUAGGGUCAGCCCAAAAGUUACUGUUGGGUCAUCAAGUGGAAAAGAUCUUUUGUACUGGUAUCAACAGAGAGAUGGGGAUACUCCUAAACUACUAAUUACCAGAGCUGAUGAACGAGCAUCAGGGAUUCCAGAUCGUUUUUCAGGCAGUGGAUCAGGGACUGACUUCACUCUGACCAUCAGUGGAGUUGAGGCUGAAGAUGCAGCAGUUUAUUACUGUCAGAGUCGUCAUUAUAUCAACAGUCAGCGUGUGUGGACAUUUGGAAGUGCGCCACCAUAGACCUGAUGAUCCGAAAUACAGGGCAACGCACCACAGACGUCUGCAAAAUGGACUGAAUUCAGACCGAAUGCCGCCAGUUACCUACAGCUCCGAGGCGGCCGC